AUUAACAUGGCUUCCACGGCAACUUGAUCCCGAUGGACCAAAACCCUUGAGGGACGUCGCUUUUUCGUAUUCACUUUUCGCAAAAGUGCUUCGGUACCAAUUGCUCGCCAAUCUUCUUCAUCAGUACUUUCGCCUCCGUCUAACAUUUGAUCUUCGUCAAAAACAAAAGGUGGCAAGGUACCAUAUCCAUAUUCAUGUUCAUCAAAUAAAUCAUUAUCGUCUUCUUCCUCUUCUUCUUCUUCAUAAUAAACACCAUUAUCAGGAUAUUGACCGGUAAACAGAGCAGGUGUUUGUUCCCUUGGACUCAAUACCCCUCCUAAAUGAGCUGUGUAACUGCCAGGAGUCUCUUCUAACGAUGCAAAAAAAGAGGAAAAUGGAGUAUUAAAAGAUCUGGUUUUUCUACCAGAUGACGACAAUAACUCAUCAGAUUCUUCGGCGGACAUGCCGGACGGUAUUUUCUUGGCUCGGGACCUAACAUUUUGUCCGUCGGACGGACUUUUUGAAAAACGCUCCUGAGAAUUGCUUAAGGAGGGAGUGUCGAGAGGCUCAGUCUUCGGUAUUGAAUUAGAGGGCAAACUCUGAGGAUGGCUGUUUGCGGGUAUCGUCGAGUCCCUAAGUACCCAACGCCCCCAGCCAAUUUUCUCGAAUUGGAUGCCCUUUUUUGAUUCGAGAGCACGAGUUAACAGCCUGCGUUGCUGGGUCGGCGUUAACUCGUUAAAGGAAGGCAACAUCAGGGAUAAAUGGUGCAACAGCCGGCGGAUGGGCAAGGAGCCAUAAGUCGACAGAAUUGAAGGCAAAUAUGUAUUACAGAGCUCCUUUAACACAGAUGAAUAACGAUUGUUCGUUGACGAUGGCAAAGAUGAACUGUCAUGGGAACCUAACGAAGAAGAAUAUGGGGUUUCUUCUUUGUGUGCAGUCACCGUGCUGUCAAAUGAGGUGGAUGCCCACUUGACAGACGAAAAGCCAUCGGAAGGCUCUUGUUUGACAUGAUUCAAAGUGUUAUCCUUCGACAUCAUCGCAGAUAGUUCACUUUGUAUAGGCAGAGCUUUGAUGGAAUUCGUAAAACUCGGGUUUUCUCUCUUAACAUCAACACUUUCUUUCUUCUCAGCAAAGUCAGAAGCAGUAGUCAUUUCAAGAUCCAUGUUAUCGAUAUUCAUUGUGAAGUAGAGUAAUUAAGAGAAAGACUCGAGAAAUUAAGCACAAAGAAAUUAAUAGGGAAAAAUUAGGAAAAGAAUGUAAUGGGAACUAAUUUAAAGAGGCAAACAGAAAAUAUGCUCAGAAUAGUUCGGAAGAUAUGUAGUAAAUGAAACACCAACUCCUGCGCGUCCGAUUUUUAUAUAAAAUAUACUGCAGUACAGCCGCUUAUUUGUCGAUAACACAAUAUGCCAGCCGAGCUCCUUGAACAAAACACCCUAAGGAAAUCGGCCCCAGAACACCGUAUUAAAUAAGCGGGUACACAACAAGGACAGAUAAACGUCAAUAAUUAAAUGGAGACGGAACAACCCAAUUCCGCACAAUCUGUAUCGUUAAAUCAAUCAGCCACCGUAUUUACCAAUAUGUCUCUUAGCAGCGUGACUGGACAGAUAAAUAAACAAAAUAGGAAAUUUACCUCUGCUAGCUCUGAUAAUAUUAGGCAA
rnacentral:lncRNA from 1 species